GUCCUCCCUCCAUGAGCAAGAGAGACUGAACUGGUUUUGGGGGUACUCUGCUUGAGUGGACAUCAGAGACCACGGUUUUCAGUACAACA
rnacentral:snoRNA from 1 species